AAAAGGCACAGGUCACAUUCGUAGCAAGUGCAGAAGGAAUGCACAAUAGGAAGAAAGACGUGUGAUUUUUUUUUAAUACACUGAAUACAAGGUGAGAGGAAGGGAGUAGGUGUGAAGACUUUUCUUCGGCAUGGUAAUGCCGGUGUAGUUUUCCCGUGGAUGCGUCGAAGCAGAACACAGCAAAGAGGGAAUUUGGAACGAGCCAGGCGUGAAUUCAGACACUUGACAGAGGAAAGGUUAUCGCCCACUUGUUGUCACUUUUAUCGGAACACCCGACAGCGACGACGUCAUCUUCCUCGGAUGAUGGCGAUGAAGAAGAAGGUCACCGAGCUCUACAAGGGAACAAACCUCGCACAAAACCCGGAGCUGGAUCCUUUCCGGAGUUGGAGCUGAGCGGUGACAGACAGCCAGGAGCGGCACAGUCCUGAGGGGGCGUGGCCACGUGGGAAGAGAUGUGACCAGUGAGCAUAUGAGCGCCCGACUCCAGGUCAUCUGCCUCCUCCGCGUUUUGGGAAGCUCCGCAAAUGUGAUUAAACAGGAAGGCACAAGAAUACUGCAGAGGCCUCCUGCACCCGAGUGUUCUUCUCACGGACACACACACACACACACACACACACACACACACACACACACACACACACACACACACACACACACACACACACACACACACACACACACACCCAACAUGCAACACAACACUGGCUGACACAUUGGAAGAUACACACAUAGCAAGAUGCACCGACACACACUAACACACUGAACACACAUUAACACACAGUAACAGUCACAACACACACAUAAACAUUAACACACACAAAACAAACCUAACACAAAAACACACACUAACACACAUCAACAGACAGUAAACACACUAGCACAGAAUCACGACAAACAUGCAACACAACACUCGCCGACACACUGGAUGAUGGACAUGCUGAAAGAUGCGCUGACACAUUAACACACACUAAACACACAAACACACACAAGAACGUACACAAAACACAGAAAACACACUUAAAAACAUAUCAACACACAAUAACGUACACAAAAAAGAAAUAAAACACAAUAAGACAUACACUAAACACUUAAACACUCACUCAACACACUUAAACACACACAGGAACACACACACACACACCCAACAUGCAACACAACACUUGGGGACACACUGGACAAUUCACACGUAGCAAGAUGCACCGACACACACUAACACACUAAACACACAUUCACACACACUAAUAGCUACAACACACAUAAACAUUAACACACACAAAACACACUUAACACAAAAACACACAUCAACACACAGUAAACACACUAACACACACAAGCACGGCAAACAUUCAACACAACGCUCUCUGACACACUGGAUGAUGGACAUGCUGCGGGGAUGGGCUGACACAUAUUAACACACUAAACACACACUUAACACACAAACACACACAAGAACAUACACAAAACACAGAAAACACAGUUAAAAACAUAUCAACACACAAUAACGUACACAACACAGAAAUAAAACACAAUAAGACAUACACUAAACACUUAAACACUCACUAAACACACUUAAACACACACAGGAACACAAACACACACACACACACACACACCCAACAUGCAACACAACACUUGCGGACACACUGGACAAUUCACACGUAGCAAGAUGCACCGACACACACUAACACACUAAACACACAUUAACACACACUAAUAGCCACAACACACACAUAAUCAUUAACACACACAAAACACAAAAACACACAUCAACACACAGUAAACACACUAACACACACAAGCACGGCAAACAUUCAACACAACGCUCUCCGACACACUGGAUGAUGGACAUGCUGCGAGAUGCGCUGACACAUAUUAACACACUAAACACAAACUAAACACACAAACACACACAAAAACGUACUCAAAACACAGAAAACACAGUUAAAAACAUAUCAACACACAAUAACGUACACAAAACAGAAAUAAAACACAAUAAGACAUACACUAAACACUUAAACACUCACUAAACACACUUAAACACACACAGGAACACACACACACACACACGCAAACACACACACAACAGUCGCUGACACACUGGACAAUUCACAUGUAGCAAGAUGCACCGACACACACUAACACACUAAACACACAUUAACACACAAUAAAAGUCACAACACACACAAACAUAAACACACCUAACACAAAAACACACAUCAACACACAGUAAACACACACUCAACACACACACACGACCAACAUGCAACACAACACUCGCCGACACACUGGAUGAUGCACAUGCUGCAAUAUGCUCUGACACAUAUUAACACAAAUAAACACACACUAAACACACAAACACAAACCAACACACACAAGAAUGUACACAAAAUACAGAAAACACACUUAAACAUAUAUACACACAAAAACGUACAAAAAACAGAGAUGAAACACAAUUAGACACACACUAAACACACACAGGAACAUACACAAAACAGAAAAAAAACACACUUAGACACACAUUAAAACACACACACACUCAACGUAAACACAAAAAAACACCUAACACAAAAACACACACUAACACACAUCAGCACACAGGAAACACACUCUUAACACAUAAACAGACACAAGCACACACACACACCAUACAUGCUGCAAGAUGGAUUGACACAUACUGACACACAAAAACACACACACAGAUACAGAACAACACACACAAGAACAUACACAAAAUACAUGUCAACGCACACAAAAACACACAAAACAACACCCACAAGAACGUACACAAAAAAUGUAAAAACACACAAAAACACACUUAAACGCACAAACAUAUAAUGAGCAUUAACAAAACAGAUAAACACACUUAAUCAAUCAUAAACCCACAGUAAUAACACACAUACACACACACAAGAACGUACACAAAACACAGAUUAAACACACAAAAACCCUUAUAUACACAAUAACAUGCACAUGGACAUAUACACAUAACACAGAUAAAAGCACACUUAAACACACAUCAACACAAGCAUAAACAUAUACGAAACACACUUAAAUACACAAACACAGACAAAACACACACACGACCAACAUGCAACACAACACUCACCGACACACUGGAUGAUGCACAUGCGCCGAGAUGCACUAACACAUAUUAACACACAUGAACAGACACUAAAUACAACAACACAAUAAAACAACACACACAAGAAUGUACACGAAACACAGAAAACCAACUUAAAUACAUAUGAACACACAAUAAACGAACAAAAACACUUAAACACACAAUAACAUACACAAAACACA